GUUGUAUGGUUAAGUGACUAAGCGUACACGGUGGAUGCCUUGGCAGUUGGAGGCGAUGAAGGACGUACUAACUUGCGAUAAGCCUAGUCAAGCCAGUAAGAGGCGCUUGAGACUAGGAUUUCCGAAUGGGGAAACCCACCUGCUUGCAGGUAUCGUUAACUGAAUACAUAGGUUAACGAGGCGAACGCGGAGAACUGAAACAUCUAAGUACCCGUAGGAAAAGAAAUCAACCGAGAUUCCGAAAGUAGCGGCGAGCGAAAUCGGACCAGCCCUUAAGCUUUAGUGUAGUUAGUGGAACAUGCUGGAAAGCAUGACGAAACAGGGUGAUAGUCCCGUACACAAAAACUUAUCUAAAGUGAAAUCGAGUAGGUCGGAGCACGUGAAACUUUGACUGAAUAUGGGGGGACCAUCCUCCAAGGCUAAAUACUCCCAACUGACCGAUAGUGAACCAGUACCGUGAGGGAAAGGCGAAAAGAACCCCUGUGAGGGGAGUGAAAUAGAACCUGAAACCGUGUACGUACAAGCAGUAGGAGCCUACUUGUUGGGUGACUGCGUACCUUUUGUAUAAUGGGUCAGCGACUUAUAUUCUGUAGCGAGGUUAACCAUUUAGGGGAGCCGUAGCGAAAGCGAGUCUUAACUGGGCGCUUAAGUUGCAGGGUAUAGACCCGAAACCCGGUGAUCUAGCCAUGGGCAGGUUGAAGGUUGAGUAACAUCAACUGGAGGACCGAACCCACUAACGUUGAAAAGUUAGGGGAUGACCUGUGGCUAGGAGUGAAAGGCUAAUCAAACCGGGAGAUAGCUGGUUCUCCCCGAAAUCUAUUUAGGUAGAGCCUCGGACGAAUACUUACGGGGGUAGAGCACUGUUAAGGCUAGGGGGUCAUCCCGACUUACCAACCCUUUGCAAACUCCGAAUACCGUAAAGUAAUAUCCGGGAGACACACGGCGGGUGCUAACGUCCGUCGUGGAGAGGGAAACAACCCAGACCGUCAGCUAAGGUCCCAAAGUGUAUGUUAAGUGGGAAACGAUGUGGGAAGGCUAAAACAGCUAGGAGGUUGGCUUAGAAGCAGCCACCCUUUAAAGAAAGCGUAAUAGCUCACUAGUCGAGUCGGCCUGCGCGGAAGAUGUAACGGGGCUAAACAUACCACCGAAGCUACGGCUGCAGACUUUGUCUGCGGGGUAGGGGAGCGUUCUGUAAGUGGCUGAAGGUGUGCCGGGAGGCAUGCUGGACAUAUCAGAAGUGCGAAUGCUGACAUGAGUAACGACAAGAGGAGUGAAAAACUCCUCCGCCGGAAGACCAAGGGUUCCUAUCCCAUGUUAAUCAGGGUAGGGUGAGUCGACCCCUAAGGCGAGGCUGAAGAGCGUAGUCGAUGGGAAACGGGUUAAUAUUCCCGUACUCGGUAUGAAUGCGAUGGGGGACGGAGCAGGCUAGGCAAGCAUGGCGUUGGUUGUCCAUGUGAAAGGCUGUAGGCUGGUGACUUAGGAAAAUCCGGGUUGCUAAGGCUGAGAGUCGAGACGAGCCACUAAGGUGGUGAAGUUGUUGAUGCCCUACUUCCAGGAAAAGCCUCUAAGCUUCAGUUCAUACUGAAUCGUACCCUAAACCGACACAGGUGGUCAAGUAGAGAAUACUAAGGCGCUUGAGAGAACUCGGGUGAAGGAACUAGGCAAAAUUGUACCGUAACUUCGGGAGAAGGUACGCUCUUGUUUGUGAAAGACUUGCUCUGUAAGCAAACGAGAGCCGCAGUGACCAGGUGGCUGGGACUGUUUAUUAAAAACACAGCACUGUGCAAAAUCGUAAGAUGACGUAUACGGUGUGACACCUGCCCGGUGCCGGAAGGUUAAUUGAUGGGGUUAGCUUAGGCGAAGCUCUUGAUCGAAGCCCCGGUAAACGGCGGCCGUAACUAUAACGGUCCUAAGGUAGCGAAAUUCCUUGUCGGGUAAGUUCCGACCUGCACGAAUGGUGUAACCAUGGCCACGCUGUCUCCACCCGAGACUCAGUGAAAUUGAAAUCGCAGUGAAGAUGCUGUGUACCCGCGGCUAGACGGAAAGACCCCGUGAACCUUUACUACAGCUUGGCACUGAACAUUGACCCUACAUGUGUAGGAUAGGUGGGAGGCUUUGAAGCAGAGACGCUAGUUUCUGUGGAGCCGACCUUGAAAUACCACCCUUGUAGUGUUGAUGUUCUAACUUAGGCCCCUGAAUCGGGGUUGAGGACAGUGCCUGGUGGGUAGUUUGACUGGGGCGGUCUCCUCCCAAAGAGUAACGGAGGAGCACGAAGGUUUGCUAAGUACGGUCGGACAUCGUACGGUUAGUGUAAUGGUAGAAGCAAGCUUAACUGCGAGACAGACACGUCGAGCAGGUACGAAAGUAGGUCAUAGUGAUCCGGUGGUUCUGAAUGGAAGGGCCAUCGCUCAACGGAUAAAAGGUACUCCGGGGAUAACAGGCUGAUACCGCCCAAGAGUUCAUAUCGACGGCGGUGUUUGGCACCUCGAUGUCGGCUCAUCACAUCCUGGGGCUGAAGUCGGUCCCAAGGGUAUGGCUGUUCGCCAUUUAAAGUGGUACGCGAGCUGGGUUUAGAACGUCGUGAGACAGUUCGGUCCCUAUCUGCCGUGGGCGUUUGAGAAUUGAGAGGGGCUGCUCCUAGUACGAGAGGACCGGAGUGGACGAACCGCUGGUGUUCGGGUUGUGAUGCCAAUUGCAUUGCCCGGUAGCUACGUUCGGAACUGAUAACCGCUGAAAGCAUCUAAGCGGGAAGCAGGCCUCGAGAUGAGUUCUCACUUUGACUUAGAGUCAACUGAAGGGCCGUUGAAGACUACAACGUUGAUAGGCGAGAUGUGGAAGUGCUGUGAGGCAUUAAGCUAACUCGUACUAAUUACCCGUGAGGCUUAACCAUACAACGCCAAAGUGGUUU
rnacentral:rRNA from 1 species